CACGUAGGGCGCAAGCGUUGUCCGGAAUUAUUGGGCGUAAAGAGCUCGUAGGCGGACUGUCACGUCCGCUGUGAAAAGCUAGGGCUUAACCCUGGCCUUGCAGUGGAUACGGGCAGACUAGAGGUAGGUAGGGGAGAAUGGAAUUCCCGGUGUAGCGGUGAAAUGUGCAGAUAUCGGGAGGAACACCGGUGGCGAAGGCGCUGCUCUGGGCCGGUACUGACGCUGAGGAGCGAAAGCGUGGGUAGCGAACAGG
rnacentral:rRNA from 1 species